rnacentral:tRNA from 3 species
CAGGGAGUAGUUUAAUUUAAAGCGCCAGCUUUGGGAGUUGGUGAUGAAGGUUUGAUUCCUUUCUCCUUGA